AAGCCAAGUCCAGGUCCAGACCUGCGGCUCCACCUCUGGGCUGAGGCGUGUUCUGUCGACACUGAGGACAUGGGAUCCACACCUGGAGGAGGGAGGAGCAGGUCUCAGAUGGCCUGUCUGAUGACCACCGGCUGAUGUUCCACUUCAUCGACAUGAUCAUCAUGACUGCCUGGCUGCUCUACGAGACUGCAGCAGCACUUGGAUGAGAAAAGAGGAACAGAUGAAGCUUCAUACAUUCAAGUUGUAUAUUGCAGAAAGCUUAUGCCAAAGUGACAAGAAUCUGGAGCAUAAGAGAGGUCGUCCCAGUUCCACAGUUGCUGGGGAGUAUGAAGAAAAGAGGAGAAGAGGACCCACUACACCCAUACUGGUCCCUGAUGUGCGUCUGGACACCACAGCCCACUGGAUGGUCAUGGAUGAAAAGAAAGGGAGAUGCAAGGUACCUGGAUGCAAAGGUACACCUAAAGCCAAGUGCCAAAAAUGUGACGUCCACCUCUGUUUCACGUCCACCAGCAACUGCUUCCUAAGGUUCCAUGCAGAAUAAUACAGACUGUGAUUGGU